AGGCAGCUGUUCAAGCAUCAGCUCACAUUACCACUGCAAGGACAUCUGACUGAUGUACUGCGCAUUGCAAGAAAAUGAGAGUUUAGAAGAAUGGAGAAUUAGAACUUGGCUGGAACAAUGAAACCAGGAUUCUACUAUUAAGCUGUGUGUGAUUGGACCCUGAGAUUACAUUUCGAAUAUGUGUUUUCGGGCCGAUUGAGCGAUCUGGUGCUUUGCUGACUCUGAGGGAGAUAGGUGAGAUUUGGAAUGAGCGUUCUGGAGGCCAAAAAGCUGGGACAUGAACGACUCUACUUAUCGCCGAUUAAUUUAUUGAGCAAAAUUGAAAUCAACUAGAGCGAGAAUGGAAGCUGACUGUGAUCAUUUAAAGCUGAUUCCCAAGAGGAGCAGAUCACAGGAUCGUUGUGGGUUUCGAGAAUGAAUUGGCUCACGGUGUCGCUCAGUCAAGCGACUGAUGUUCAGUUGGAAUUCCU